rnacentral:rRNA from 1 species
GUAGUCUGCAACCCGACUACACGAAGCUGGGAUCGCUAGUAAUCGCGGAUCAGAAUGUCGCGGUGAAUACGUUCCCGGGUCUUGUACACACCGCCCGUCACACCAUGGGAGUCGGGAAUGCCCGAAGUCAGUGACCCAACCUAUUGGAGGGAGCUGCCGAAGGCAGGUCUGAUAACUGGGGUGAAGUCGUAACAAGGUAUC